AUUGAACGCUGGCGGCAGGCCUAACACAUGCAAGUCGAGCGGAUGAAGGGAGCUUGCUCCUGGAUUCAGCGGCGGACGGGUGAGUAAUGCCUAGGAAUCUGCCUGGUAGUGGGGGAUAACGUCCGGAAACGGGCGCUAAUACCGCAUACGUCCUGAGGGAGAAAGUGGGGGAUCUUCGGACCUCACGCUAUCAGAUGAGCCUAGGUCGGAUUAGCUAGUUGGUGGGGUAAAGGCCUACCAGGGCGACGAUCCGUAACUGGUCUGAGAGGAUGAUCAGUCACACUGGAACUGAGACACGGUCCAGACUCCUGCGGGAGGCAGCAGUGGGGAAUAUUGGACGAUGGGCGAAAGCCUGAUCCAGCCAUGCCGCGUGUGUGAAGAAGGUCUUCGGAUUGUAAAGCACUUUAAGUUGGGAGGAAGGGCAGUAAGUUAAUACCUUGCUGUUUUGACGUUACCAACAGAAUAAGCACCGGCUAACUUCGUG
rnacentral:rRNA from 1 species